UGGCCUUUUUAAUCCAUAUCCACCUUGUGUGCAAUGUCAGUCGGUCUUCUUUAUGGAGAUCGGCCAAACAUCAACCUAAUUUUUUAACUCUUUGUCUGAAAAAUAUUAUGAAUAAAAUAAUUCAAAAUACAACUUUCAACAACGGAUCUCUUGGCUCUCGCAUCGAUGAAGAACGCAGCGAAAUGCGAUACGUAAUGUGAAUUGCAGAAUUCAGUGAAUCAUCGAAUCUUUGAACGCAUAUUGCGCUCUUUGGUAUUCCGAAGAGCAUGCUUGUUUGAGUAUCAGUAAACACCUCAAAACUUUUUUUUAUUUUUAAAAACCAGUUUUGGACUUGAGCAAUCCCAACACCAAUCUUUUUUAGAUCGGUGGCGGGUUGCUUGAAAUGCAGGUGCAGCUGGACAUUCUCCUGAGCUAAAAGCAUAUUUAUUUAGUCCCGUCAAACGGAUUAUUACUUUUGCUGCAGCUAAUAUAAAGGGAGUUUGACCGUUUUGGCUGACUGAUGCAGGAUUUCACAAGGGUCGGCAACGAUUCUUGUAAAACUCGAUCUCAAAUCAAGUAAGACUACCCGCUGAACUUAAGCAUAUCAAUAAGCGGAGGACGUCUUGGUCAUUUAGAGGAAGUAAUCCAGC
rnacentral:rRNA from 1 species